ACAUGGACCGCGAGGAGCCUCCGGUGUCUGUCCCCGUGUCUCCAGGAGAAAUGAUGAGACUGUUGGUGAAGCAGCAAGUCCACGCGGCCGUUGAAGAGUCUUUUGGGCUGUUGGACACAUUGACAGCAGCUUAUGAGGACACCGUGUCUCAGUUGAGAGAACAAUGGCGACACACAUCAGAGCACCAUGGCUCGCCACUGGGAGAUCUGGGGAGGUGGAGGAUGCCGAGAAUGGAGACCCACCCCCGAAGAAAGGGAGGAGAGGAAGGAAGAGGAAGAUGAGGAGCAGGAUAGAUGAGGAUGACAGCGGUCAGGUUUUUGAGCUGAUACAAAUUUGUAUCAGAUGAAGAUGGCGAGCUACCCACGAGUUGGAUGAACAUGAUGACUGCCCACUAAGACAACGUUUCUUUUUCAUUUUAAAUAUGUGUACUUGAUUUAAGUUGUUCUUUAAGUUCAGUAAAAACCCUUAAAUCUCAA